rnacentral:rRNA from 1 species
UACGAAGGGGGCUAGCGUUGCUCGGAAUCACUGGGCGUAAAGGGUGCGUAGGCGGGUCUUUAAGUCAGGGGUGAAAUCCUGGAGCUCAACUCCAGAACUGCCUUUGAUACUGAAGAUCUUGAGUUCGGGAGAGGUGAGUGGAACUGCGAGUGUAGAGGUGAAAUUCGUAGAUAUUCGCAAGAACACCAGUGGCGAAGGCGGCUCACUGGCCCGAUACUGACGCUGAGGCACGAAAGCGUGGGGAGCAAACAGGGAU